rnacentral:lncRNA from 1 species
CAUUUAGGAGCUUACAUGGUUUCUGAGGUCAGAAAUCCAGGAGCAGCUGAGCCAGGUGGUCCUGACUCAGGAUCUCUCCUGAGAUUGGAGUUCAGACAUCAGCUCAGGCUGGAGCACCUGCUUCAAGAUGACUCAAUGCCACCAGCAAAAGGCUUCAUUUCCUGGCCACAUGGGCCUCUGCACAGGGCUGCUUGAGUGUUUUCAUGACCCGUCAGUUGGCUGCCUUCUGAGCAAGAGAUCCAAAGCAGUGCAGAGAGGAAGCCUCAGUACCUUCCCUGCCCUAACCUCCUAAAUCACACCACUUCCGCUGCGUUUGUGUUUUAGAAGGAGCCCACACUCUAGGGGAAGGGAAUUAGACUCCAUCUUCAGAAGGGAGGAGGCUCAAAGGAUUUGUGGAUCUACUUUAAAACCAUCACAGCAUGUGAGGUGAGGCCAGGGCACUGGGAUUUUUAAACACCCACAGGUGACUCCAACGUGCAGCCAGGGCUGAGACCUACUGUCUUGCAAAGUCACCAAUCAGAGGUGGAGACUACAGAUUCAGCAAGACAUGACUUCAAGUUUCUCUUGGAGAUCUCCUGGCCAGAGCUCUUAAGGCUGCAGAAAUGAGAAGGCUGCCCCUCAAGAGGACAGCAGCUCUGCCCU